ACUCACACGGUGACUCAUAACUGUCCGUAACUCCAGGUCCAGAUAAUCUGAUGCUCUUUUCUGACUUUUGAAGCAUGAGGCACAUAGGUGGUUCAUGAAUGUACAUGCAAGCAAAACACCCACAUACAUAAAAUAAAAACAAAAUGAGAAAAAAAUAGAGGAAUUGUUGAAGAGAGGUAUGAUGGCUUUUCCUUGUUGUCAACUUGACUACAUCUGGAAUGUAUGAAGGACAGUUAUAUCAUGUUAGAGGUUUAAGUUUAAUCCCACAAAACCAAACUAAUAAAACAAACUAUGGGCUGGAGAGAUGACUCAGUGGUUGAGUGUUGGCCGUACAAUCAGGAAGACUUCAGUUUGGACCCCAGCACCCAUAGAACAAGCUGAUCCUCUUUUGGCAUCAGAGAUACACACAUCUGCACAACUAUACACACAGGUG
rnacentral:lncRNA from 1 species